rnacentral:lncRNA from 1 species
UCUCUUCAUGCUCAAGGAGCCUUGUUAUCCUAGUCGGUACAUCACAAUCUUCCUCACCGUCUUCGUCAGCUUGGUUGAUUGUAAGUCCAGAUUUACAAUGAAUUAUUGUCGAGUUAUUAUCAACGGAUUUGUUUUCUCUGCAUGUUAUGAGCUUAUUUUAGUAUGCAUUUUUUAGAAGUGGAAAAAGAAAAGAAACUUUUUC